rnacentral:rRNA from 1 species
AUGUUAGGCCGUGUGGUCGACGUCAUGGGAGUACCUAUUGAUGGAAAAGGGGCUCUAAGCGAUCACGAACGAAGACGUGUCGAAGUGAAAGCCCCAGGGAUUAUAGAACGUAAAUCUGUGCACGAACCCAUGCAAAUAGGCUUAAAAGCAGUGGAUAGCCUGGUUCCUAUAGGCCGUGGUCAACAAGAACUUAUAAUCGAGGACAGACAA